rnacentral:rRNA from 1 species
GAUGAACGCUGGCGGCGUGCCUAAUACAUGCAAGUCGAGCGAACAGACGAGGAGCUUGCUCCUCUGACGUUAGCGGCGGACGGGUGGGUAACACGUGGAUAACCUACCUAUAAGACUGGGAUAACUUCGGGAAACCGGAGCUAAUACCGGAUAAUAUAAUGAACCGCAUGGUUCAAUAGUGAAAGACGGUUUUGCUGUCACUUAUAGAUGGAUCCGCGCCGCAUUAGCUAGUUGGUAAGGUAACGGCUUACCAAGGCAACGAUGCGUAGCCGACCUGAGAGGGUGAUCGGCCACACUGGAACUGAGACACGGUCCAGACUCCUACGGGAGGCAGCAGUAGGGAAUCUUCCGCAAUGGGCGAAAGCUUGACGGAGCAACGCCGCGUGAGUGAUGAAGGUCUUCGGAUCGUAAAACUCUGUUAUUAGGGAAGAACAAAUGUGUAAGUAACUAUGCACGUCUUGACGGUACCUAAUCAGAAAGCCACGGCUAACUACGUG